rnacentral:piRNA from 1 species
ACAUACUUCCUUUUGCAAGGCUGCACC